rnacentral:rRNA from 1 species
GAUGAACGCUAGCGGCAGGCUUAAUACAUGCAAGUCGUGGGGCAGCAGGUCUGUAGCAAUACAGAUGCUGGCGACCGGCAAACGGGUGCGGAACACGUACACAACCUUCCUUUAAGUGGGGAAUAGCCCAGAGAAAUUUGGAUUAAUACCCCGUAACAUAAUGAAGUGGCAUCACUUUAUUAUUAUAGCUCCGGCGCUUAAAGAUGGGUGUGCGGCUGAUUAGAUAGUUGGCGGGGUAACGGCCCACCAAGUCGACGAUCAGUAACUGGUGUGAGAGCACGACCAGUCACACGGGCACUGAGACACGGGCCCGACUCCUACGGGAGGCAGCAGUAAGGAAUAUUGGUCAAUGGACGCAAGUCUGAACCAGCCAUGCCGCGUGGAGGAUGAAGGUCCUCUGGAUUGUAAACUUCUUUUAUUUGGGAAGAAAUCUAUCUUUUCUUGGAUAGUUGAUGGUACCAGAUGAAUAAGCACCGGCUAACUCCGUGCCAGCCGCCGCGGUAAUAC